rnacentral:rRNA from 1 species
UUUUCUCUUCUUCCUCGCGUCAGGCACGGAGGAAGGGCCAAUGAGCCCUGCGCGAUGACCCUCACGGCCACCGCGACCGAUGGGGUCGCUGGGGUUCACGAUGCUUGCGGAUCCGGCGAGGCAAGGUCAGGGAUGGUGGAUCAGCGGCGGAGGAGGAGCGAGGUAGCGGGCUAGCGGCGGUGGGGGUAGGGCAUACGCGAGUGGCUUCACGACGAUGAGCGCGAGACGGUGCUCGAGGCCCCUCACUCCACUCGCUGCGGCGACUGAGGGGAGGAGAUCGAGGAGACGUCGCCCAAAGAAGGAAUCGCACUGGCAAGGGACGAUGGUGCUGCGUGGCGGUGGUGGAAUGCGGCCACGGGAGGAGGAAAAUAUGUCACCGAGGUGGAUUUGGGGAAAACCCGUCACCGAGGUGGAUUUGGGGAUAACCCAUCGUCGAGGUCACCUACUGUUUCCACCACCUGCCACUCGCGUCCAUGGCCACCGCCAAAAGCGAAGGCAGCUCUCUGGGUCCCUACCGACGCUGGGGUGCGAAAGCAUGGGGAGUGAACAGGAUUAGAUACCCUGGUAGUCCAUGCCGUAAACGAUGAGUGUCCGCCCUUGGUCUACGCGGAUCAGGGGCCCAGCUAACGCGUGAAACACUCCGCCUGGGGAGUACGGUCGCAAGACCGAAACUCAAAGGAAUUGACGGGGGCCUGCACAAGCGGUGGAGCAUGUGGUUUAAUUCGAUACAACGCGCAAAACCUUACCAGCCCUUGACAUAUGAACAACAAAAUAUGUCCUUAACGGGAUGGUACUGACUUUCAUACAGGUGCUGCAUGGCUGUCGUCAGCUCGUGUCGUGAGAUGUUUGGUCAAGUCCUAUAACGAGCGAAACCCUCCUUUUGUGUUGCUGAGACAUGCGCCUAAGGAGAAAUUGUUGUACGUAGUGGUAAUAGUACGCACCCUGCUCCGAAACAAAGAAAAAGGUGUGUGUUGCACUCACGGGGGACUGCCAGUGAGAUACUGGAGGAAGGUGGGGUUGACAUCAAGUCCUCAUGGCCCUUAUGGGCUGGGCCACACACGUGCUACAAUAGUAAUGACAAUGGGAAGCAAGGCUGUAAGACGGAGCGAAUCCAGAAAGAUUGCCUUAGUUCGGAUUGUUCCCUGCAACUCGGGAACAUGAAGUUUAAAUCACUAGUAAUCACGGAUCAGCAUGUUACGGUGAAUAUGUACCCAGGCCCUGUACACACCGCCCGUCACACCCUGGGAAUUGGUUUCGCCCGAAGCAUCGGACCAAUGAUCACCCAUGACUUCUGUGUACCACUAGUGCCACAAAGGCCUUUGGUGGUCUUAUUGGCGCAUACCACGGUGGGGUCUUCGACUAGGGUGAAGUUGUAGCAAGGUAGCCGUAGGGGAACCUGUGGCUG